rnacentral:tRNA from 1 species
GCAUUCGUGGUGUAGUGGUCAGCACUCUUGAUGCGUAUUCGAGAGGUCCGAAGUUCGAGUCCCGGCGAGCGCC